rnacentral:sRNA from 2 species
GCGCCUGAUGAUCAAUGAGAACAAGCAUAUAUCCGACUGCGCUGCGCGUCAGCUCGCUGUCGUGCGCCGUCAUGAGAUGCAACCUCUAGUCCUUGAAAUCUGACUG